UACAGAGGGGGCAAGCGUUGUUCGGAAUUACUGGGCGUAAAGGGCGCGUAGGCGGCCUGCUAAGUCGAACGUGAAAUCCCCGAGCUCAACUCGGGAACUGCGUCCGAUACUGGCAGGCUUGAAUCCGGGAGAGGGAUGCGGAAUUCCAGGUGUAGCGGUGAAAUGCGUAGAUAUCAGGAAGAACACCGACGGCGAAGGCAGCUCGCUGGGACGGUACUGACGCUGAGGCGCGAAAGCGUGGGGAGCGAACAGG
rnacentral:rRNA from 1 species